AUGAACGCUAGCUACAGGCUUAACACAUGCAAGUCGAGGGGCAGCAUGGUCUUAGCUUGCUAAGGCCGAUGGCGACCGGCGCACGGGUGAGUAACACGUAUCCAACCUGCCGUCUACUCUUGGACAGCCUUCUGAAAGGAAGAUUAAUACAAGAUGGCAUCAUGAGUCCACAUGUUCACAUGAUUAAAGGUAUUCCGGUAGACGAUGGGGAUGCGUUCCAUUAGAUAGUAGGCGGGGUAACGGCCCACCUAGUCUUCGAUGGAUAGGGGUUCUGAGAGGAAGGUCCCCCACAUUGGAACUGAGACACGGUCCAAACUCCUACGGGAGGCAGCAGUGAGGAAUAUUGGUCAAUGGGCGAGAGCCUGAACCAGCCAAGUAGCGUGAAGGAUGACUGCCCUAUGGGUUGUAAACUUCUUUUAUAAAGGAAUAAAGUCGGGUAUGGAUACCCGUUUGCAUGUACUUUAUGAAUAAGGAUCGGCUAACUCCGUGCCAGCAGCCGCGGUAAUACGGAGGAUCCGAGCGUUAUCCGGAUUUAUUGGGUUUAAAGGGAGCGUAGAUGGAUGUUUAAGUCAGUUGUGAAAGUUUGCGGCUCAACCGUAAAAUUGCAGUUGAUACUGGAUAUCUUGAGUGCAGUUGAGGCAGGCGGAAUUCGUGGUGUAGCGGUGAAAUGCUUAGAUAUCACGAAGAACUCCGAUUGCGAAGGCAGCCUGCUAAGCUGCAACUGACAUUGAGGCUCGAAAGUGUGGGUAUCAAACAGGAUUAGAUACCCUGGUAGUCCACACGGUAAACGAUGAAUACUCGCUGUUUGCGAUAUACAGCAAGCGGCCAAGCGAAAGCGUUAAGUAUUCCACCUGGGGAGUACGCCGGCAACGGUGAAACUCAAAGGAAUUGACGGGGGCCCGCACAAGCGGAGGAACAUGUGGUUUAAUUCGAUGAUACGCGAGGAACCUUACCCGGGCUUAAAUUGCAAAUGAAUUACGGUGAAAGCCGUAAGCCGCAAGGCAUCUGUGAAGGUGCUGCAUGGUUGUCGUCAGCUCGUGCCGUGAGGUGUCGGCUUAAGUGCCAUAACGAGCGCAACCCUUGUUGUCAGUUACUAACAGGUUCCGCUGAGGACUCUGACAAGACUGCCAUCGUAAGAUGUGAGGAAGGUGGGGAUGACGUCAAAUCAGCACGGCCCUUACGUCCGGGGCUACACACGUGUUACAAUGGGGGGUACAGAGGGCCGCUACCACGCGAGUGGAUGCCAAUCCCAAAAACCUCUCUCAGUUCGGACUGGAGUCUGCAACCCGACUCCACGAAGCUGGAUUCGCUAGUAAUCGCGCAUCAGCCACGGCGCGGUGAAUACGUUCCCGGGCCUUGUACACACCGCCCGUCAAGCCAUGGGAGCCGGGGGUACCUGAAGUGCGUAACCGCGAGGAGCGCCCUAGGGUAAAACUGGUGACUGGGGCU
rnacentral:rRNA from 1 species